rnacentral:sRNA from 1 species
UUGGCUCCAUCGCAACAGGGCAACUGCAGGGAGACGCGUCAUGUUUUUCGACAACGUGGUGAUCGCCGGAGUGCUGACCGUCAGCCUCAUGUUGGUAUUUUUUGCAGGGUUCGGAUUUUUUAUCUGGAAAGACUCGCACAAGCGCAAAAAGCCGUAGGUCUUUCUUGAGGCAAUGAGCACGCAAGGCAUUUUGGGCAACUUCGGUUGCCCUUUUUUUUU